rnacentral:rRNA from 1 species
UACGUAGGGUGCAAGCGUUGUCCGGAAUUAUUGGGCGUAAAGAGCUCGUAGGCGGUUUGUUGCGUCGGCUGUGAAAACCUGAGGCUCAACCUCAGGCCUGCAGUCGAUACGAGCAGACUAGAGUGUUGCAGGGGAGACUGGAAUUCCUGGUGUAGCGGUGAAAUGCGCAGAUAUCAGGAGGAACACCGGUGGCGAAGGCGGGUCUCUGGGCCGAUACUGACGCUGAGGAGCGAAAGCGUGGGGAGCGAACAGG